ACCGCGGCGUUGGGCCUGGCGGGGUCACUUGUGGGCGCCCGGUUCGCGCAGCGGAAGAUGGAACCGAACUCCGGGACCGCGGAGCGCCGCGGCACACGCACCGGCUUUAGUUCGCUUUUUGUUUCUCUCCUCCCUCGCUGUCCUCAGGGCUGCGGCGACGGGAAACGCCGCCGCGCCUCCGGAGUUUCGCUUUUCCUGGGAUCCGAGGCGGCCGGUGCGGUGAAAAGGCGUGAGCUGCGUGGUGCCCGCGGUGACUCCGAGAGCUGUUUGAUGGUUGAGUGGGCAGUGUUCUCCCGUGGCUGUGGAAGAUCGGCCCGGAACGCUUAGCGGAGUGCCUUGGUGACAUUACCGUAAGGCUGCUACUGUUAUUUUAACGUUAGUAAUCGUUUAGAAGGAAAAACAUACGUACGUAAAAUACAUGUUCAGCAUUACAUUUGAUAACUUUGAGAGCUGUCAGAGGAGC
rnacentral:lncRNA from 1 species